rnacentral:tRNA from 1 species
GUCAAGAUGGCCGAGCGGUCGAAGGCGCUGUGUUCAAGCCACAGUAUCGAAAGAUUCUUGGGUUCGAAUCCCAAUCUUGACA